GGCCCAAUGGUCUAGUAGUAUGAUACCCGCUUCGGGAGCAAUCCACAACACAAGGUGUUGAAAAUGCGGGUGGUCCCGGGUUCAAUUCCCGGUUGGGCCC
rfam:Rhizopogon vinicolor AM-OR11-026 unplaced genomic scaffold K503scaffold_3, whole genome shotgun sequence.